AGGAGAGGCUGGUUCUGUUGUUUGUGCAGGAGGGCUUUCUGUAAGGCAGAAGCACAAACACACAGUCAGGUCAUAUCUUAACCUUAAAUCACAUGGUGGAGGAAAAACUCAGAACUCUACAUGUCAGACUAGCCUAGGCCUGUCCGGACCCUGUUACCUGUCUGGCUGUGAGCAGUGACUCAUCGACCUCCUUCUUCAGCUCUCCGUUGUCGUCCAACUCUCCUUUCUCCAGGGCGUCCAGCCACUUCUCCUCCUCGUCCACCGGCCCCCCCAGUCCUCCCAGGGAGUCAGAGUCCAUGUCUGGCAGAGGAGACGGGUCCAGGUUACUGUCCUCAUCUAGAGACAAGAAACAGAAAGACAAGUGUAUGGUCAAGAUAUUAGAAUGGCAUGGCUGCGAUCCAAAUUUUUACAAAUUAAUUAAAAAUAAAGCUGAAAUGUCUUCAGUCAAUAAGUAUUCAACUCCUUUGUUAAAGCAAGCCUAAAUAAGUUCAGAAGUAAAAAUGUGCUUAAAAAGUAUCCCAAUAAGUUGCAUGGACUCACUCUGUAUGCAAUAACAGGGUUUAACAUGAUUUUUGAACAACUACCUCAUCUCUGUACCCCACAUAUACAAUUAUCUGUAAGGUCCCUCAGUCCAGCAGUGAAUUUCAAACAUUCAACCACAAAGACCAGGGAGGUGUUACAAUGCCUCGCUAAGAAGGGCACGCCAUUGGUAGAUCGGUUAAAAAAAACAAUCUAAGCAGACACUGAAUAUCCCUUUGAGCAUGGCGAAGUUAUUCAUUAUACUUUGGAUGGUGUAUCAAUACACCCAGUCAAUACAAAUAUACAGGUGUCCUUCCUAACUGAGUUGCCAGAAAGGAAGGAAACCGCUCAGGGAUUUCACCGUGAGGCCAAUGGUUAGUUUAAAACAGUUACAGAGUUUAAUGGCUGUGAUAGAAAAACUGAGGCUGGAUCAACAACGUUGUAAUUACUCCACAAUACUAACCUAAUUGA